UGGGGAAUUUUGGACAAUGGGGGAAACCCUGAUCCAGCCAUCCCGCGUGUGCGAUGAAGGCCUUCGGGUUGUAAAGCACUUUUGGCAGGAAAGAAACGUCAUGGGUUAAUACCCCGUGAAACUGACGGUACCUGCAGAAUAAGCACCGGCUAACUACGUGCCAGCAGCCGCGGUAAUACGUAGGGUGCAAGCGUUAAUCGGAAUUACUGGACGUAAAGCGUGCGCAGGCGGUUCGGAAAUAAAGAUGUGAAAUCCCAGAGCUCAACUUUGGAACUGCAUUUUUAACUACCGGGCUAGAGUGUGUCAGAGGGAGGUGGAAUUCCGCGUGUAGCAGUGAAAUGCGUAGAUAUGCGGAGGAACACCGAUGGCGAAGGCAGCCUCCUGGGAUAACACUGACGCUCAUGCACGAAAGCGUGGGGAGCAAACAGG
rnacentral:rRNA from 1 species